AGCUUGUUCCUAUUAGACACUCAACAUGAUAUAAAGCACGUCAAUUAAACACAAAACUUCCAAUCCAAGAAAAAACUCGGCGCGUGUUCAUAAAUGCUGUAAAAUAAAGAAAAUAAAAAACCUACCACGUGUCUUUUUUAAUUCCACGUAUAUCUACCUGGGUUAAAACUAAAAGAGCGCCCACUUCCUUAAUCUUUUUGUUCAUCUCAAUCCUGUGAAGAAUGACUGAGAGCCCAACAAUGGAGGUGAAAAGCAAAUUCUUUGCUACAAGAAAGAGGUGAUGAAGAAGAAAGAAUCGCUGAUAGAAAGAUGAAGGGAAUGGAGGAAUUUUCUGAACUUGUUGCUGGAUCCAAAUGGAAGAAGUUUGUAAGGAAGAAAAUUUUUUGUAACCCCAAGAAAUCUUUAAAGAAGAAGACAAUUUCAGUUUGAUUCUUUAAAGUUACUCUGAGCUUCCAUUUCAAAAAAAAAAAAAAAAAGUUAUGCUCUCAACUUUGGUGAUAGAGAUUACUAUGUGGAAGAUGGAGAACUUUUGUGUAAUUUUUAGUCUCAAUUUGUUGUUUUUAAAAAGAAGAUGAGGAAAUAGCUUCCUUGUGAAUUUUAAUUUUCGAUCUCGAUUUACUUUUGAAAUUGCUUAAUUUUGAGGUGAAGAGUCUAUAUUGAUUUUGGGUAUGUGGAA